rnacentral:tRNA from 1 species
UAGAAAGUGGUGUAAUGGGAGCACCUGGAGUUUUGAUCUCCUGGGUAUAGGUUCAAGUCCUUUCUUUCUAG